CCUACGGGAGGCAGCAGUGGGGAAUAUUGGACAAUGGACCAAGAGUCUGAUCCAGCAAUCCUGUGUGCACGAUGAAGUUUUUCGGAAUGUAAAGUGCUUUCAGUUGGGAAGAAAAAAAUGACGGUACCAACAGAAGAAGUGACGGCUAAAUACGUGCCAGCAGCCGCGGUAAUACGUAUGUCACAAGCGUUAUCCGGAUUUAUUGGGCGUAAAGCGCGUCUAGGUGGUUAUAUAAGUCUGAUGUGAAAAUGCAGGGCUCAACUCUGUAUUGCGUUGGAAACUGUGUAACUAGAGUACUGGAGAGGUAAGCGGAACUACAAGUGUAGAGGUGAAAUUCGUAGAUAUUUGUAGGAAUGCCGAUGGGGAAGCCAGCUUACUGGACAGAUACUGACGCUGAAGCGCGAAAGCGUGGGUAGCAAACAGGAUUAGAUACCCUGGUAGUCCACGCCGUAAACGAUGAUUACUAGGUGUUGGGGGUCGAACCUCAGCGCCCAAGCAAACGCGAUAAGUAAUCCGCCUGGGGAGUACGUACGCAAGUAUGAAACUCAAAGGAAUUGACGG
rnacentral:rRNA from 1 species